AGUGAACGCUGGCGGUAGGCCUAACACAUGCAAGUCGAACGGCAGCACAGUAAGAGCUUGCUCUUACGGGUGGCGAGUGGCGGACGGGUGAGGAAUACAUCGGAAUCUACUUUUUCGUGGGGGAUAACGUAGGGAAACUUACGCUAAUACCGCAUACGACCUACGGGUGAAAGCAGCGGAUCUUCGGACCUUGCGCGAUUGAUUGAGCCGAUGUCGGAUUAGCUAGUUGGCGGGGUAAAGGCCCACCAAGGCGACGAUCCGUAGCGGGUCCGAGAGGAUGAGCAGCCACACGGGAACUGAGACACGGUCCAGACUCCUACGGGAGGCAGCAGUGGGGAAUAUUGGACAAUGGGCGCAAGCCUGAUCCAGCCAUACCGCGUGGGUGAAGAAGGCCUUCGGGUUGUAAAGCCCUUUUGUUGGGAAAGAAAAGCAGCAGGUUAAUACCCCGCUGUUCUGACGGUACCCAAAGAAUAAGCACCGGCUAACUUCGUG
rnacentral:rRNA from 1 species